AACGAACGCUGGCGGCAUGCCUAACACAUGCAAGUCGAACGAGACCUUCGGGUCUAGUGGCGCACGGGUGCGUAACGCGUGGGAACCUGCCCUUAGGUUCGGAAUAACUCCCCGAAAGGGGUGCUAAUCCGGAUAAUGUCUUCGGACCAAAGAUUUAUCGCCUUUGGAUGGGCCCGCGUUGGAUUAGCUAGUUGGUAGGGUAAAAGCCUACCAAGGCGACGAUCCAUAGCUGGUCUGAGAGGAUGAUCAGCCACACUGGGACUGAGACACGGCCCAGACUCCUACGGGAGGCAGCAGUGGGGAAUAUUGGACAAUGGGCGAAAGCCUGAUCCAGCAAUGCCGCGUGAGUGAUGAAGGCCUUAGGGUUGUAAAGCUCUUUUACCCGGGAUGAUAAUGACAGUACCGGGAGAAUAAGCUCCGGCUAACUCCGUG
rnacentral:rRNA from 1 species